rnacentral:ncRNA from 1 species
AUGGUUCAAGCCAACGAAGCACCGGUAAAUAGCUGGGGUAACUAUGACUCUUAUCAAAGUAGCGAAAUACCUCGUCACUUAAUUAGUGACCUGCAUGAACGGAGCUAUGAGGUUCUCACUGUCCCAAACUGUCUCUCAGCGAACCAACUGUAGUGGGAACGGUCACUAGAUAUCCAGCGGGGAAAGAAGACCCUGUAGAGCUUCACUUUGGUCUAGUCUUGUAUAGUUCCUGCGGGGGUGUAGACUAGGUGGGAGAGCAAUCGAUUCUGAAAAACCACUACCCUGUUUGGAAUUAUGCUUACCUAUCACAAGGAAUAGGACUAGAUAGAAAGUUUGGCUGGGGCGGCACACCUUCGAAAGAGCAGCGAAGGUGUCCUAAGUUGAGCUCAGUGAGGACAGAAAUCUCACGUUGAGGAUAAGGCCAAAAGCUCAAUUUACUGUGCCUUUUUGUACUAGGAUCAGUUACGAAAGUAAGGCCUAACGAUCCCUAAAUAGCCUCAGGUGCGUGAGGAUUGGGGUGACAGACAAGUUACCUCCGGGACAACUGGCUUGUGGCUGCUAAGAGAUCAAAUCAACGCAGCUUUUUGAUUCUUCGAUGUCGGCUCUUCCUAUCCUAGUGAUGUACAAGUUGCUAAGGGUCGGAUUGUUCACCCGUAUUAGGGAUCGUGAGCUGGGUUUAGACCGUCGUGAGCCAGGUUUGUUUUAUCCUACUGGAUAUAGCAUCAUGAUAGUAGAUUGAUUUAGUACGAGAGGAACUGUUGAUUAUGGCCUCUGGUUAGCGAUUAUCGGAAACGGUAUGUCGCGCAGCUACGCCGUCUGGGAUAAUGGCUGAAAGCUCUUAAGCAGAAGCCAUCUAGAAGUG